AGUGACGUGUCAUUCUCAGGUUAAUUCUCAUAUAAAAAUUUCACGUGUCAUUCCAUUAGAUAACUUCUCUUAUGUUGUAUUAUUUUAUUUUGAAACCGAAUUUUAAAAGAUUUGCCCUAAUUAUCUAAGAUUUACCUAGAUUAAAUAAAAAAAACAUAAAAAUACCAUAAAAAUGAAUUAAUAAAAACUAUCAAAAUCUAUCAAAUCACAAUAAAAACUCAUAAAAUUAUGAAUUAAAUAAAAAUCCGAAAAUUCAAUAAAAUACCAUAAAAUUUAAUUAAUACUCUAAAAAUAAACUUUUUCUUCACCUAAAAUUUAUUUCCAUAACAAAUCUUGAAACCGAUUUUUUCCGCUACUCACAGCCACACCGAUUAUCCUCAUGGCCCUUUAGAGCUACUUCAAACCAUAAUUUUGAGCCGCCAAGCUUAUCUCUUCUUCCCUGAUUUUGGAACUGCCACUACAAAAAAAUUGUCAUAUACCAACGGACAUUUUUAGUGACAGACACAAAAAACGUGGGUAUAAAUACUUUUACCAACAAACAUGUCAUUAAGUGUGGCUAUAGAUAUGAUAUACCUAUGGAUGUCUAUUACCGUAACUAAUUCCUUGAGGGACAAAACUGAAAUCGUGGGUAUAAGAUAUUGUACCAACAUUUACGUCAUUAACCGUGGCUAUAGUUAAUCAUGUUCUAAUCCUAGUAAUAAGAUUUAAAAAUACCUUUUCAACUUUUCACACUCUGCGCUCUAAAUUUUGGGGAAAAUUUGAAACCCCGCUCACUCGUUCACUCUUCCUCCCUCUCUGUAAGCUCAUCUUGCACACUCCCUGCUUUGCUGUGCUCACACUCCCUCUCCACGCUCAUGAAUCAUCUCGGCGCUCAUCCUGUGGUUUCUUCCCCUCUUCUUUCUUUCUCCAUCGCGUUGUGGUGUCCUUCUUUUUCGUUCUUCUGUUCUCCGUUGCGCCGUCGUCCAUCGUCAUCAUUGCAGAGGCGAUUUAGCUAGGGUUUCAACUUUCAAGGGACCGAGGUUAAAGAAGGAGCGAGGGAAAGUCUUCCUGCCAUCUACCACCACCCACUGGUAUCAUUAAUCUUUGACAGUUUGUACUUUCGAUUAAUUGAAGAUAGUGAUAAAAUGGAAUCCCGUUUAUUUCUCGGUUAUGAUUUGCAAGUACCAUCUAAAAUUAUUCUCUCAAAGAUAUUAUAUCAUCUCCUGUUAAUUCCUCUCUUAGAAAUUAGUGUUUUUGAAUUCAAAUUUGUUCUUGACUAUAAAUUACUCCCCCCAUUAGUUGAUUUCUUGACUAAUAAGUUUAAAAUCGUCCAGUAUUGUUCUGUGCAUAUCGCAGGUGUUAUGGAUACAUAUGUUUCGCUUUCAAUAUGUUUCCUUUUUUUACCUUCUGAAAUUCAAACCUGAGCAAAAAAAUCUGAAAUUUAAUCAUCACUUUCGAUUAGUAUAUUUAUUUUCCUAAGCGCCUAUAUUACUCUUGCAUUGUCAUGUGCAUGCUUGAUAUUUUAUAUAAGAGUUUUUUGGGAGUCGUUUAUGCUCACAAAAAUCUGGAAGAUGAUAGUUGGCUUAAAGAGAAAGCUGCAACAGAACUGAUAUCAUUAUGCCACUAUCUCAUAAACCUGGAAGAUGGUAGUUGGGGCUUAAAGAGAAAGUUGCAUCAGAACUAAUGUCUUUAGGCUUCUUUGUGAUUUGGUUAUGACCACCUACGAAAUCUGAUUCACGAGAAGGAUACAUGCCAAAGGAUUUAUACAAUUUAAUUUCUAGAAACUAUGUUGGAUUUCACCUGAAACCAAAAUUUUAAGUAUACUAUCAUGAGAAGCAAUGGUAGGAGCAUGAAUGGUUUUCAGGAGAAAGGAAACAAGAUGGUGAGGCUGCAAUCAAGAGUGGCCAGAGAGUUAAGGGUUCUUUGGAAUUUAGAUGCACUUUCAGCUCCUGGCAAAAGGGAGAAAUUUUACGAGAAGGGUCCUUUCGAACCGUGUACGAAGACUUCACUGAGUAAUUAAUUUUAUAUAUUAUGACAUUCAAAUUUUUUUUUCGGCUGCGCGAAUUUCAAUCUAUGCAACAGGGGUUUCAAUUUAAGACUUUUUGACCA